CAAUGAGCAACCUCUCUGUGCCCUCCUCCCCCCUCUUUUUUUGAGACAGGGUUUCACCAUGUAACUCUGGCUGGCCUGGAACUUGCUAUAUAGGCAAGAAUGGCCUAAAAUUCAGGUAUUCAACUGCCUCAACCUCUCACAAGCAAGGAUUAAAGCCCCAGUGUUGGGAAGCGGUGCCUUAUAGGUGGAAUUUGGGUCAUGAGAGGAAAGCCUUCGUAAAUGGACUGACUUUUCUCAUGUGGAUUCUGUGUGGCCUUCUGCUUUCUGUCCUGAGUUGAAGCUUCGUGAGGGUCGUUGCCGGAUGACUCACCAGCCUUUGACUUCUCGAUCUCCAGGACGAUGCAUGCACACACGUGCACCACUUUAUUUUAUGAGGUCCCUAAUCUUAAGUAUUCUAAAAUCGCAACAGAAAACAGACCCGAGACCAAAACCAAGGGAGCUACCUACACGAAAUUCUGUGAUUUCUUAAUACACGGAAGUCAACUCGCUCCACCGUGGGAAUCAUCAGA